UCCGCCCCUUAGUGCUGCAGUAACGCAUUAAGCACUCCGCCUGGGGAGUACGGUCGCAAGAUUGAAACUCAAAGGAAUUGACGGGGGCCCGCACAAGCGGGGAGCAUGUGGUUUAAUUCGAAGCAACGGGAAGAACCUUACCAGGUCUUGACAUCCUCUGACAAUCCUAGAGAUAGGACGUCCCCUUCGGGGGCAGAGUGACAGGUGGUGCAUGGUUGUCGUCAGCUCGUGUCGUGAGAUGUUGGGUUAAGUCCCGCAACGAGCGCAACCCUUGAUCUUAGUUGCCAGCAUUCAGUUGGGCACUCUAAGGUGACUGCCGGUGACAAACCGGAGGAAGGUGGGGGAUGACGUCAAAUCAUCAUGCCCCUUAUGACCUGGGCUACACACGUGCUACAAUGGACAGAACAAAGGGCAGCGAAACCGCGAGGUUAAGCCAAUCCCACAAAUCUGUUCUCAGUUCGGAUCGCAGUCUGCAACUCGACUGCGUGAAGCUGGAAUCGCUAGUAAUCGCGGAUCAGCAUGCCGCGUGAAUACGUUCCCGGGCCUUGUACACACCGCCCGUCACACCACGAGAGUUUGUAACACCCGAAGUCGGUGAGGUAACCUUUUAGGAGCCAGCCGCCGAAGUGGGACAGAUGAUUGGGGUGAAGUC
rnacentral:rRNA from 1 species